AAGUCGUAACAAGGUAACCGUAGGUGAACCUGCGGUUGGAUCAUUAAUGAAAUCUACAUGAUGGCGUCCUCGUCAGAUGGCGCUGUCAGAUCACACCAACCUUUUGUGAACCGUCUAGUCUCUGGCGGCCGGGUGGGGUAAGCGGUGCGAGGCGACUCUGCCUCGUGUCCACCCACCUGUCAGCUUGGGGGCCCCUCGGGGUUCCCUCGCCGUGGACAACCCGCCAACCGUGUCCAAACUUGUCAUACUUUUGUCGUCUUAUUUUAAUCUGUGCUUUAAAUGCAGAAACAACUUUUGGCAACGGAUCUCUUGGCUCUC
rnacentral:misc_RNA from 1 species